rnacentral:rRNA from 1 species
GAUGAACGCUGGCGGCGUGCUUAACACGUGCAAGUCGAACGGAAAGGCUCCUGCUUGCAGGGGUACUCGAGUGGCGAACGGGUGAGUAACACGUGGGUGAUCUGCCCUGCACUUCGGGAUAAGCCUGGGAAACUGGGUCUAAUACCGGAUAGGACGAUGGUUUGGAUGCCAUUGUGGAAAGUUUUUUCGGUGUGGGAUGAGCUCGCGGCCUAUCAGCUUGUUGGUGGGGUAAUGGCCUACCAAGGCGUCGCCGGGUAGCCGGCCUGAGAGGGUGUACGGCCACAUUGGGACUGAGAUACGGCCCAGACUCCUACGGGAGGCAGCAGUGGGGAAUAUUGCACAAUGGGCGCAAGCCUGAUGCAGCGACGCCGCGUGGGGGAUGACGGCCUGCGGGUUGUAAACUCCUUUCGCUAGGGACGAAGCGCAAGUGACGGUACCUGGAGAAGAAGCACCGGCUAACUACGUG